rnacentral:rRNA from 1 species
UACGUAGGGGGCUAGCGUUGUCCGGAAUCAUUGGGCGUAAAGCGCGCGUAGGCGGCCAGAUAAGUCCGGUGUGAAAGUCACAGGCUCAACCUGUGAAUGCCGCUGGAAACUGUCUGGCUAGAGUCCGGAAGGGGCGAGUGGAAUUCCUGGUGUAGCGGUGAAAUGCGCAGAUAUCAGGAGGAACACCAAUGGCGAAGGCAGCUCGCUGGAACGGUACUGACGCUGAGGAGCGAAAGCGUGGGGAGCGAACAGG